AUUUCCUUUUUGAGAUAACACAGGAUGUAAAAACAUACAGUAUAAUAAGAUUAUUAAUCUCAUAAUGACUAUAAAAUUGUGAUUUACCAUCAUCUGUAGCCAAAAAAAUAUGUAUAUUAAUCACAGCAGUCUAAAAGCUAUUGGGACAAUCUGUAAGUGGCUAGAAAUAAUCCAUGAUUUUUCUCUCUUUUGCAGAGGUUACAUAUACAGCCUAUGCUAUUACACCCUUAUCUCAAAAAGAAAACAUUUUUGGACUGAUAUUAAUAUGAUCUUUUUCUUUGUUUUGACGAAUAGCAUCUGUGGUUUGAAUUUGGCCUGACUUUCUAAUAAUAAUCUGUAUAAAGAAUAACAAAUGAUAUAUUUUAUUUUUCUUAGCAAUUUUUCAUUAAUGUUGAUAUAAU
rnacentral:lncRNA from 1 species